GAUCUAUGCUCCUUUUCUCCCUCCCUCUUCUUUCCCACUUCUCUAUAAUGGAUGGAGAACAGAAAGCACAAAAAGAUGAUAAUCACAUAUAUGUCAGAUGACUCUUCUUUCCAAAAUCAAUGAACUCUGAGAAUGGUACUUAUAAUAUUUCAUAAGAUUUAACAUCUCAGAUGAUCCUCACGUCAUAACAUAUUCGAAUAAAGACAAACAGU
rnacentral:lncRNA from 1 species